CGCGAUUGGAGCGGCCGAUAUCAGAUUAGCUAGUUGGCGGGGUAAAAGCCCACCAAGGCGACGAUCUGUAGCUGGUCUGAGAGGACGACCAGCCACACUGGAACUGAGACACGGUCCAGACUCCUACGGGAGGCAGCAGUGGGGAAUUUUGGACAAUGGGCGCAAGCCUGAUCCAGCAAUGCCGCGUGCAGGAUGAAGGCCUUCGGGUUGUAAACUGCUUUUGUACGGAACGAAACGGUCUCUCCUAAUACGAGGGGCUAAUGACGGUACCGUAAGAAUAAGCACCGGCUAACUACGUGCCAGCAGCCGCGGUAAUACGUAGGGUGCAAGCGUUAAUCGGAAUUACUGGGCGUAAAGCGUGCGCAGGCGGUGAUGUAAGACAGAUGUGAAAUCCCCGGGCUCAACCUGGGACCUGCAUUUGUGACUGCAUCGCUAGAGUACGGUAGAGGGGGAUGGAAUUCCGCGUGUAGCAGUGAAAUGCGUAGAUAUGCGGAGGAACACCGAUGGCGAAGGCAAUCCCCUGGACCUGUACUGACGCUCAUGCACGAAAGCGUGGGGAGCAAACAGGAUUAGAUACCCUGGUAGUCCACGCCCUAAACGAUGUCAACUGGUUGUUGGGUCUUCACUG
rnacentral:rRNA from 1 species